rnacentral:misc_RNA from 1 species
UCGAGCAAUUCCUGUUUCGUCUCGGCUUCGAGUUCCAUCGCCGCGGCCACGAGAAACGAAAGCCGCUGCGGUUCGGUAUCGGUUAUGUCCGGCAGGUUGCCGCGUUCGUCGUUGAUGAUGCGGAUUGCAUUCGCCACGCGCAUGAACAUCGCCGCGACGUCCCGCGCAGCGGUGCUCACCUUCUGAUUGCUUUCCUCUUCGUCUUCAAAAAAGUUAACGCGCACGACGAGAUACGGAUCAUUUCGGUCAACAUAGUCCUCAACUUCAUACCGAAUGACGCCGACGGCGAGUACAUUCGAUCGCCCGUCGG